UCAAACUUGAGAGUUUGAUCCUGGCUCAGAACGAACGCUGGCGGCAUGCUUAACACAUGCAAGUCGAACGAAGGUCCGGAGCUUGCUCCGGAUCCCUUAGUGGCGAACGGGUGAGUAACGCGUGGGAAUCUACCUAAGAAUGGGGAAUAACUGUUGGAAACGACAGCUAAUACCGCAUAAUCCCUUCGGGGCAAAGGCUUCGGCCGUUUUUAGAUGAGCCCGCGUUAGAUUAGGCUGUUGGUGAGGUAACGGCUCACCAAACCUACAAUCUAUAGCUGGUCUGAGAGGAUGAUCAGCCACACUGGGACUGAGACACGGCCCAGACUCCUA
rnacentral:rRNA from 1 species